GCACGAAGUUAGCCGGGGCUUAUUCUGCGGGUACCGUCAUCAUCGUCCCCGCCAAAAGAGCUUUACAACCCGAAGGCCUUCAUCACUCACGCGGCAUGGCUGGAUCAGGGUUGCCCCCAUUGUCCAAUAUUCCCCACUGCUGCCUCCCGUAGGAGUCUGGCCCGUGUCUCAGUGCCAGUGUGGCCGAUCAUCCUCUCAGACCGGCUAUCCGUCGUAGCCUUGGUGGGCCGUUACCCCGCCAACAAGCUGAUAGACCGCAGGCUCAUCCAGAAGCGACUAUUGCUAGCCCUUUAACACCGCUGUACUAUGCGGUAUUAGCCCCGGUUUCCCAGGGUUGUCCCGCUCUUCUAGGUAGAUUCCUACGUGUUCCUCACCCGUCCGCCACUCCCUGUAUUGCUACAGAUCGUUCGACUUGCAUGUUUAAGACGCGCCGCCAGCGUUCGUU
rnacentral:rRNA from 1 species